AAUCAAUUUGGUUCUAGUUGUCUAAUUAAUUAUCUCAAAAUAUACACAUGCAACUCCUUAGACUCCCGUAAAAACCCAAGUUAAAUACAUUAUUACAAGAUAAUAAUAUAUUUUUCAUAGGUAUAAAUUAAAUCUAUUGAUAAUAGAACUCUACGCCUGCAGUGAAAAAUACUGAGUAAAUUAAAAAGAUCCGAUUAUUGAGAGCAAUCAUCUGGCAAAACUCGUGCCAGCCGCCGCGGUUAGACGAUGAGAAUAAAUUAAUUAACCCAGCUAAUAAUUGAUAAAAAAUACAAAUCCAGAGGUUCAAUUCGAACAUAAACACUUUUCCUUUAUUAUCAUAACAACUAACAAAGCGUAGACCAAAACAAGGAUUAGAUACCCUUCUAUUCUUCGCCACAUUUACAACUAGCUGGGCACUACGAACACAUGUUUAAAACCCAAAGAACUUGGCGGCAUUUCAAUCACACCAGGGGAACCUAUCUCUUAAUUCGACAAUCCACGAUAUACUCUACUUUUUUUUGCUAAACAGCUUGUGUAUUGCCGUCGUCAGUUUAUUUUACAAUAAUAUAAACCAAACGAAUAAAAUUCAUAACGUCAGGUCAAAAUGCAGCCCAUAAAAAAGGGGAAGACGGGUUACAGCAACUAAAUACUCGAAUAGAAAUUUAAAACUUUCUUGAAGCCGGACUUGGAAGUAAAGUUAAAUAUACUAACUUGAAUAACGCAAUCUGAAAUGUGCACACAUCGCCCGUCACUCUCGCCGAAAGGGGAGAUAAGUCGUAACAUAGUAGGUGUAGCGGAAGCUGCACCU
rnacentral:ncRNA from 1 species